UUAGAAGCCGUCGGCCCCACUUAGAAGAUGAUACAAAUGCAGCAGUUUUAUGUUGUAUUUUUCUACAUAUUAUCUGUCAACCUCAAGCAAAUAGGUUUUGCUAUGUUCCAGCCUCACGAUGCCUAUUUUGUUUGACUUUUUUA